UUACCGUGGAAGGGGAACACCGAGUCCAGAUGGUCUCCGCCUCGUAAUUAGCACAGUUUUAGUUUCUGGGAUCAAAAAGCGAACAUAAAGCUCGAGCUCUUAUGUUGAUACCGUGUUUCUGGAGGCGCCCGGAGCUUCGUAGAUUCCUUGUGAGUGGGAAUUACACACUCUUCCCCCUCCUCCCUUCCCAAAGUGUAGUUUCAUCCCAUUCUGAUGGCGUGUCGGCGUGAAGCUGUGCCACGGCUCUUUCCCAUGCUUUAACAUGCAGACAGUUUUGCACCUCUGUAUGCAGCGAUGCUCUUCAAUGUAGUGCCUGAAGAUGUGAGAUAAAAGUCUCGCUAGCUUUCUUCAAAAUGGCAGCUCGCAAUCUCAGUGCCUGGCAAGGUGGCGAGGAGGGCAGCAAAAUCCCUGAUGGCAGUCUAUUCAAUUCUUGUGCCCACAGAUGCCCGCAUUGACUCCCCCAUUGUGGCAGCAAAUGAUUUAAUACAACGCUUUCUAAGAUGGUGGUGAAGCAUGGAUUGCCGCUCAUCACAAGAGGAAGGGGCAGGCAGGCAGUGAGAGGAGGGGCUGAGAGCAGCAAUGCAUAGUGGGGCACAGAGAGUCUCAACACCAACCCUCCCCUCCUCCAUAACAUCCUCCAUGUUUUCCUUCCCUUUCGCUGGCAUCUUUUCGACACAGAGACUGGACGUCUGUACGAAAGAGCAAAAAUGGAGAAAGUAAAUGAAAACAUAAACAUGAGUUUGC
ensembl:lncRNA